AGAUAAUAUUAGUCUCUCACUGAGGCCACCCAGGCUGUAGCGCAGUGGCACCAUCAUAUCUUUGAUACAGCCUUUAUCUUUCCUAUUCAAACCCACUUCUAGAAGCUGUCCACCAACUCUCACCUUCUAAAUUCAUGGAACAAGAAUCACAUAGUGAAGACUCGAUCACAAAAACAAGAGGAGCAAUAAUUUCAACUUGCUUGUAUGUUCAUCUAGGACACAGCUGAAAACUACCAUUUAGAAACUGUGGCCCACCCAGAACACCACCAAAUCCAAGCUGGAGAAUACUUUAUGAUGGCAAUGCUUGAUAUCUACUUAACCUCAUUUGUGUCCUAUUAUAUAAAGACACGAUAACGGUUUAGAGAUAAAGAAAAUAAAGCAGAAGGAACAAAGCAGUCCAGUGUGAGGAUGAAUACUGCAGAUGGGAAUAUAAGUAUAAGGCAGACACAUUUAUAAGCAUUAAAAGCUGUAAGGAAGUAUUUUGCUUUCAUUUAUGUGUCUUGAUGUCCUUCAUAUUCUCAGCAUCAGCUUGAUAUUUCAGUGUGAUAUACAGUACUGCAAAUAACAUCUUUGGUGUACUAUACACGUCGUUUUCACUUACACAAAACAUGAUAUGGAACACUUCCUGAAACAGAAUGGUGACUUAAAUCAAGGCCCACAGCUGAAUAGCUGGUACUUCCCUGGAAGAAUCUGGCUUUGAACUAGGAGAAAACUACAACCAGGGUGGCUCAUGAGAAUUAUAAGAAGUAGGGUAGAACCCAUAGUAAUCAAAAUCACAAUAAAGACACUACAGUA